UACGGAGGGUGCGAGCGUUGUCCGGAAUCAUUGGGCGUAAAGGGCGCGUAGGUGGCCCGGUCAGCGUGCGGUGAAAGCUCGGGGCUCAACCCCGAGUCGGCCGUGCGAACUGCUGGGCUUGAGCACUGUAGAGGCAGGCGGAAUUCCGGGUGUAGCGGUGGAAUGCGUAGAGAUCCGGAAGAACACCGGUGGCGAAGGCGGCCUGCUGGGCAGUGGCUGCACUGAGGCGCGACAGCGUGGGGAGCAAACAGG
rnacentral:rRNA from 1 species